rnacentral:rRNA from 1 species
GUGCACCAGGCGAGAAACUUCACACUGUGCGAAAGCACGAUGAGGGAAUCCCAAGUGCUUGCACGUAAGUGUAAGCUGUUUCUCUGUCUAAAACGCAGAGAGAGUAAGGGCUGGGUAAGACGGGUGCCAGCCGCCGCGGUAAUACCUGCAGCUCAAGUGGUGACCGUUAUUAUUGGGCCUAAAACGUCCGUAGCCGGUUUAAUAAAUGCCUGGGUAAAUUGUGUAGCUUAACUAUACGAGUUCCGGGUAGACUGUUAAACUUGAGACCGGGAGAAGUUAGAGGUACUCCUGGGGUAGAGGUGAAAUUCUGUAAUCCUAGGGGGACCACCAGUGGCGAAGGCGUCUAACUAGAACGGGUCUGACGGUGAGGGACGAAAGCCCUGGGGCGCAAACGGGGAUUAGAUACCCG